GGUGAAGAACGUAGCGAAAUGCGAUAAGUAAUGUGAAUUGCAGAAUUCAGUGAAUCAUCGAAUCUUUGAACGCACAUUGCGCCCCUUGGUAUUCCGAGGGGCAUGCCUGUUCGAGCGUCAUUAUAACCCUCAAGCUCAGCUUGGUGUUGGGGCCUGCUGCACUGGCAGCCCUUAAAAUCAGUGGCGGCGCCAUCUGGCUCUAAGCGUAGUAAUUCUUCUCGCUAUGGAGUCCUGGUGGAUGCUUGCCAUCAACCCCCAAUUUUUCUAUGGUUGACCUCGGAUCAGGUAGGGAUACCCGCUGAACUUAAGCAUAUCAAUAAGCGGAGGA
rnacentral:misc_RNA from 1 species